GCAUCUUUUUGUUUGCGGAAAGGAUGUUCUUCAGAAAGAAACUGUCGAUGACAAUCAAACCAAUAUGGUUUCUUACUACCACCCUUUAGAGUAAAUGACUUUGUAUGUUCCAUAUAAUAAGGACACGCUGAAGGAAAAAUAUUCGAUCCGAUCGGAUCACAGGGUGUGCUUUGAAAAAAUUUUCUAUAAUAAGCUAACAUAAAUUUUAUGUUACAUG
rnacentral:lncRNA from 1 species